GGAGCAUAGUGGGAAUUUAAAAAAUAUUUUUAGUAGUGUGCUACAUGGGGGCAAGUUUUUCACUAACACUUUAUUCUGACCCAAUGAGUGGAGUUUGAUAGUAAUCUUUGCUACAAAU
ensembl:snoRNA SNORA62 Small nucleolar RNA SNORA62/SNORA6 family